GCCGCGAAAGCUCUUCUGCCUGCUUCUGUGUGAUAUGUUUGAUAUUGGGUUGUUUAAUUAGGAACCAACUAAAUGUCAAACAUAUUCUUACAGCAGUAGGCAAUUUGGCAUCAUACUCUU
rnacentral:pre_miRNA from 8 species